CAAUAGCGUAUAUUAAAGUUGUUGCAGUUAAAAAGCUCGUAGUUGGAUUUCUGUUCUCGGGGAUUGGUCCGCCUCACGGUGAGCACUGGUAUCCUGGGGACAUCCUCUCGAAGGCGGGUGGUGCACUUAAUUGUGUGCUGCUUGGAUUCGGGACCUUUACUUUGAAAAAAUUAGAGUGUUCAAAGCAGGCGUCGGCUUGAAUACAUUAGCAUGGAAUAAUAAGAUAGGACCUUGGUUCUAUUUUGUUGGUUUCUAGAGCUGAGGUAAUGAUUAAUAGGGAUAGUUGGGGGCAUUCGUAUUUAACUGUCAGAGGUAGAAUUCUUGGUAUUUAGUUAAAGACGGACUACUGACG
rnacentral:rRNA from 1 species